UGAGGAAUAUUGGGCAAUGCCCGCAAGGGUGACCCAGCAACGCCGCGUGGAGGAUGAAUGUCGUAAGAUUGUAAACUCCUGUUAGAGGGGAAGAAUAGUACCGGUUGGACCGGUAUAUGACUGUACCCUCAGAGAAAGCCCCGGCUAACUACGUGCCAGCAGCCGCGGUAAUACGUAGGGGGCAAGCGUUGUCCGGAUUUACUGGGUGUAAAGGGCGCGCAGGCGGGAUAAAAAGUCAGUGGUGAAAUCCUACAGCUUAACUGUAGAACUGCCUUGGNUACUUUUAUUCUUGAGUUCGGGAGAGAGAGACGGAAUUCCAGGUGUAGUGGUGAAAUACGUAGAUAUCUGGAAGAACACCAGUUGCGAAGGCGGUCUCUUGGUCCGACACUGACGCUGAGGCGCGAAAGCGUGGGGAGCAAACA
rnacentral:rRNA from 1 species